rnacentral:rRNA from 1 species
UGCAGAGGGGGCAAGCGUUGUUCGGAAUUACUGGGCGUAAAGGGCGCGUAGGCGGCCUUCUAAGUCGAACGUGAAAUCCCCGGGCUCAACCCGGGAACUGCGUCCGAUACUGGAAGGCUUGAAUCCGGGAGAGGGAUGUGGAAUUCCAGGUGUAGCGGUGAAAUGCGUAGAUAUCGGAAGGAACAUCAGUGGCGAAAGCGACUUCCUGGACCAAUACUGACGCUCAUGUGCGAAAGCGUGGGGAGCAAACAGGG